rnacentral:rRNA from 2 species
UUAAGCAUAUCAAUAAGCGGAGGAAAAGAAACCAACCGGGAUUGCCUCAGUAACGGCGAGUGAAGCGGCAAGAGCUCAAAUUUGAAAGCUGGCUCCUUCGGGGUCCGCAUUGUAAUUUGCAGAGGAUGCUUCGGGUGCGGCCCCUGUCUAAGUGCCCUGGAACGGGCCGUCAGAGAGGGUGAGAAUCCCGUCUGGGAUGGGGUGUCCGCGCCCGUGUGAAGCUCCUUCGACGAGUCGAGUUGUUUGGGAAUGCAGCUCUAAAUGGGUGGUAAAUUUCAUCUAAAGCUAAAUACUGGCCGGAGACCGAUAGCGCACAAGUAGAGUGAUCGAAAGAUGAAAAGCACUUUGAAAAGAGAGUUAAAAAGCACGUGAAAUUGUUGAAAGGGAAGCGCUUGCGACCAGACUCGCCUCCAGGGUUCAGCCGGCAUUCGUGCCGGUGUACUUCCCUGGGGGCGGGCCAGCGUCGGUUUGGGCGGCCGGUCAAAGGCUCCCGGAAUGUAGUGCCCUUCGGGGCACCUUAUAGCCGGGAGUGCAAUGCGGCCAGCCUGGACCGAGGAACGCGCUUCGGCACGGACGCUGGCAUAAUGGUCGCAAACGACCCGUCUUGAAACACGGACCAAGGAGUCUAACAUCUACGCGAGUGUUCGGGUGUCAAACCCGUACGCGCAGUGAAAGCGAACGGAGGUGGGAGCCCCCUCGCGGGGCGCACCAUCGACCGAUCCUGAUGUCUUCGGAUGGAUUUGAGUAAGAGCGUAAAUGUGGGGACCCGAAAGAUGGUGAACUAUGCCUGAAUAGGGCGAAGCCAGAGGAAACUCUGGUGGAGGCUCGCAGCGGUUCUGACGUGCAAAUCGAUCGUCAAAUUUGGGUAUAGGGGCGAAAGACUAAUCGAACCAUCUAGUAGCUGGUUCCUGCCGAA